rnacentral:lncRNA from 1 species
CCAGGGAGCUUGUUAGAAUGCUGAAUCUCAGGCCCCACCCUAGACUUAUUGAAUCAAAGCCUGCAUUUGGGCCUGGAAAUCACUUUCAAAGAAAGUAAGGUUGCUGAUUUCACCUCCUUUGGGUUCAGCUGAUGCCGAUGUUUGGCCUAGUCUAAGAGGAGUGACUUCUUGCUUUCUUUAUAUUGCUUUGCUCUCAGCCUGUGAAGAGGAUCCAUCCACAACUCGAGCUGCCUCCCUGUUGCUCCGCAUUUCUGGUUCCCCAGAAGAUGAACCCUACCUUAGAGAGAAGAGACAGAGAAGGAAGAAGCCCCACUGCCUACUGUUGGCCCACUGUGGACAGGCUGCUGCUGCUGCUGCUGCCAGGAGCUCUCGGGGGUGACCCUAGACAAGGAGAAUCUUCCCAGGGAAAUCCUGGGAGGGGCUAACUAAAGCCACGUAGAGUAGGCAGCAACUUCUCUCCAAGCCACAGUCCAAUGGCAGGCUCAAUUAUGCAGCCUCCUUCAAUGGAGCCAUCUCUCCCAGCCUCGCCUUCUGCCCCUCCUCCAGCUUGCCGGGCCUAUAUCAUCAGCUUCCAUGCUCCAAAAGAAGAAAACUACUUAUUGAGCAGAAGCAAAUGCUACUGAUAAUUUAAC